UCGAACGUUUCCUAGCCACGGUGGAAACGUGGCAUACGGCUCAGUAAAACACGAUCAACCUACCCUUAAGACGGAUACAAACUCGGGAAACUGAGGCUAAUAUUCGAUAGGUGAGAAUUGCUUGGAAUUAGCGUCUCGCCAAAAGGGUGUUGGAGCCAUGCUUCUGAUACUGCUUAAGGAUGGGAUCAUGCCCGAUCAGGCUGUUGGUGAUGUAACGGAUCACCAAACCUAUAACCGGUACGGGCCGUGAAGCGGGAGCCCGGAGAUGGUCCCUGAACAAGGGUCCAGCCCUACGGGGCGCACAGGCGCGAAAACUCCGCAAUGCGCGAAAGCGUGACGGGGUCACCCCGAGUGCCACCUGCAGAAGGUGGCUUUUCCUCGGCAUAAUCAGCCGGGGGAAUAAGGGGAGGGCAAGCCUGGUGCCAGCCGCCGCGGUAAUACCAGCUCCCCGAUGGUGAGGACGAUUAUUGGGCCUAAAGCAUCCGUAGCCGGUCUAGUAAGUUUCUCGUCAAAUCUGGCGAUCCAAUCGUCAAACCGCGGGAAAUACUGCUAGCUAGGGGGCGGAAGAGGCCGA
rnacentral:rRNA from 1 species